AUGGCAAUGAUGGCACACCAUGGAUGGCACAGCUGGGUACCUGGCAAACAAAGCAAGGAGAUGCAAGUCCAUGGAUUUGUACAGGAUGCUACUCACAUCUCCAUAAUGUGUAGUAAUCUGCAUAGAAGUGGAUUAUCUCUCAGUCUGUCGAUAUAUGGACCAGGCACUCUGAUUUCUGUAACACAACAAGCUGCAGAGCAUGUUCCAGCUAACCAUCCCUGCACAGAGGGUUUCUCUGAGCCUCUGAGGGGCGGCUAUAGUGAGAUUAAACUCUAAAUACACAUCCCCAAGCACAUGAUUGUUUUCCCCCCUUUGUGCAACUAUCUGUGCUGGAGUUUUUAGCCCCUGGUAUUAUAACUCAGGAGGGAAACUGAGAGACCUGCCAACAGAAGCAGAGUAUCUUCUAAAACCUCAAUACAACUGGGACAGUGGCUGAACUCACAGGAUUCAGUCUUUCCAAAUAUGACAUGCAUGGAAAAAAUGAAUUACUUUUCAAGACUCCUUGUCUUGUAUUUCUGUAGUUUUACUUAUGACCACUGCACCAGCACUAUCUGGUUAAUAAACAGGGGCACUUCUAUUGCAUUAAACACACCUGUGUGUUCACACUCCAGGGUCUCACAGGGGGUUGGCUUGUGUGGAUGGACACAAAAAACACUGAGACCAAAAAGCCUAAAUUAAGCCGGUUGUCUAAUUACAAUAAAAGUUUCAUAUAUCACCGAAUUGUUCCUUAUAAUGGUUUUACAUUUUCCUAAAAUCUCGGUAACUUCCUAAUUACAAUAAAAGUUUCAUAUAUCACCGAAUUGUUCCUUAUAAUGGUUUGAAAUUUUCCUAAAAUCUCGGUAACUUCAUUGUAUGAUUACAACAAGAAGUCUGUGACAAAUCAAAGAAAUCAAAUGAGUGUGCACCAUCCCUGGGAACAUUAUCC
rnacentral:lncRNA from 12 species